GACGUAGGGUGCGAGCGUUGUCCGGAUUUAUUGGGCGUAAAGAGCUCGUAGGCGGCUCGUCGCGUCGACCGUGAAAACCCGCGGCUUAACUGCGGGCUUGCGGUUGAUACGGGCGGGCUAGAGUUCGGUAGGGGAGACUGGAAUUCCUGGUGUAGCGGUGAAAUGCGCAGAUAUCAGGAGGAACACCAAUGGCGAAGGCAGCUCUCUGGUACGUGACUGACACUGAGACGCGAAAGCGUGGGGAGCGAACAGG
rnacentral:rRNA from 1 species